rnacentral:rRNA from 1 species
UUGGGCGAGAGUAGUACUAGGAUGGGUGACCCGCUGGGAAGUCCUCGUGUUGCAUCCCU